rnacentral:rRNA from 1 species
GGUGAACGCUGGCGGCGUGCUUAAGACAUGCAAGUCGAACGGCAGUCUUCGGACUGUAGUGGCGCACGGGUGAGUAACGCGUAACUGACCUACCCCAAAGUCGCGGAUAACGAUUCGAAAGAAUCGCUAAUACGUGAUGUGCUGUCAGAUUGUGUUCUGCCAGUAAAGAUUGAUUGCUUUGGGAUGGGGUUGCGUUCCAUCAGCUAGUUGGUGGGGUAAAGGCCCACCAAGGCGACGACGGAUAGCCGGCCUGAGAGGGUGGCCGGCCACAGGGGCACUGAGACACGGGUCCCACUCCUACGGGAGGCAGCAGUUAGGAAUCUUCCACAAUGGGCGAAAGCCUGAUGGAGCGAUGCCGCGUGAGGGAUGAAGGUCUUCGGAUCGUAAACCUCUGAAUCAGGGACGAAAGACACUUCGGUGGGAUGACGGUACCUGAGUAAUAGCACCGGCUAACUCCGUGCCAGCAGCCGCCGUAAAAC